GCCAGUUGCCAUGGUGGCUGCAUGGGCCUAGGCCGGGCCUGGCACUGCCGGCUGUUUUAAUCUGCCGUCGAGAUGACUCAGGCGGAAAUAAAGCUGUGUUCCCUCCUGCUGCAAGAACAUUUUGGGGAGAUCGUGGAGAAGAUAGGGACUUAUCUUAUCAGGACGGGCACCCAGCCACUGCGGAUGAUCGUCAAUGACACAGGGCUGUUGCUGGAUCAGGUUAAGAAAGCCCUUUGUGUCCUCAUCCAACACAACUUGGUGACAUACCAGCUGCAGAAGCGAGGUUUCGUGGAGUAUGAGGCCCAGUGCAAGCGGGUCCUGAGGAUCCUCCGCUACCCGCGUUACAUCUACACUGCCAAGACCCUCUACAAUGACACGGGCGAGCUCAUCGUGGAGGAGCUGCUUCUCAACGGCAAAAUGACAAUGAGCGCAGUGGUGAGGAAGGUGGCAGACAGGCUGACUGAAACAAUGGAAGACGGGAAGACCAUGGAUUACACUGAUGUCUCCAACACAUUUGUGCGCCUGGCAGACACGCACUUUGUACAGAGGUGCCCGCUGAUCCCCGAAACCCCCGAGACCCCCGAUGCGCCCCCUCCCCCUGCGCCCAUAUUGGUGAUCAAUGAGAAGGACAUGUAUGUCGUGCCCAGGCUGAACCUCAUAGGGAAAGGGAAGCGGAGACGAUCAUGCGAUGAGGAAGAAAACGGUGAACACAAGGCUAAAAAGCAGAAGCAAGAUGGAGAAAGCUCAGAGCCUCCGCCCGAUGAUGGCAUUUACUGGCAAGUCAACAUUGACCGGUUCCACCAGCAUUUUCGAGACCAGGGGAUCGUCAGUGCCGUGGCCAACCGCAUGGAUCAGACCAGCAGCGAAAUAGUGCGGACGAUGCUGCGGAUGAGCGAAGUCACCACGUCCUCCAGCGCACCGUACACCCAGCCGCUCUCUUCCAAUGAGAUAUUCAGAUCUCUUCCAGCCGGAUACAACAUUGUGAAGCAAGUUUUGGACCAGUAUCUCACCCUGUUAGCAGACGACCCGCUCGAGUUUGUGGGUAAAUCCGGGGACAGCGGCGGGGGCAUGUACACUGUCAAUCUUCACAAGGCCCUGGCGUCUCUGGCAACGGCAACCCUGGAGUCCAUCGUGGAGGAGAGAUUUGGUUCCCGCUGUGCCAGGAUAUUCCGCUUGCUCCUGCGAAAGAAGCAUUUGGAGCAGAAGCAAGUGGAGGAUUUUGCCAUGAUCCCAGCCAAGGAAGCCAAGGACAUGCUCUACAAAAUGCUGUCGGAGAAUGUUGUGUCCCUGCAGGAGAUUCCCAAGACUCCUGACCAUGCGCCAUCCCGCACCUUCUACCUCUACACCGUGAACAUCCUGUCCUCCGCACGGAUGUUGCUGCACAGAUGCUACAAGAGUGUGGCCAACCUGAUUGAACGGCGUCAAUAUGAGACCAAGGAGAACAAGAGGCUGCUGGAGAAGUCCCAGCGGGUGGAAGCCAUCUUGGCAUCCAUGCAGGCCACUGGCGCCGAGGACGCGCAGCUGCAGGAGAUUGAGGAGAUGAUCACUGUCCCAGAGCGUCAGCAGCUGGAGAACCUCAAACGCAACGUCAACAAGUGGGCACGUGGAGCCGGAUGAAGAGCUGCUGGACGUGGGGCUGCGGGAGCUGGAGGAGGAGACAGGACUGCACCUGGAAGUGGGGACCUUCUCCUGGAGGAUGCUUGGCCUCUGGGAGGUAACAUCCUCCUCAGCUGGGGGAGGGUGGCCUCAGCACCACCAACCACCCCCAUGGAGCUGAGCACCCCUGGGUGGGGGGACAGCACCCAGUUGACGCAUCCCCCUACCCACUGACCACAUCCCCUCCCAUCCGCAAACUGGGGUCCCC